rnacentral:misc_RNA from 1 species
GUGCGGUCGGAGCCUACAUCAUCAUAGGCAAAGACCUUAAAAAUGCAAUGUACUCCAUCCACACCGGACCUGAUGCUAUGUCCGCUCCAACAUAGUUAAGCAUGAAAUCAAAAGCUUUUCUCGUCUCUUCUUGACCCUCAUUCCCCCUCUUGUCGUUGACUUUCCUGAUAAAGCGGAUGUAACAGCGCCAAAGUGGAAUCUGUAGACAGUUUAACAGGCAGCGACUAAAUAUUUGUUUUGUCGCAUCAUCA